UUUCUGUCGAGAACGCGCGGUCCACGCUUUGCGUGAGCAUCUGUGUCGGUCUUGGCAUCCUCUGGGGGAUCGUUUCUGCGCUUGAUUGCGUGGAGCGGAACUUCAGACUUUUACUUUGAGGAAAUUAGAGUGUUCACGGCAGGCAAACGUCUUGAAUACAUUAGCAUGGAAUAAUAACAUAGGACCUUGGUUCUAUUUUGUUGGUUUCUAGAGCUGAGGUAAUGAUUAAUAGGGACAAUUGGGGGCAUUCGUAUUAACGCGUCAGAGGUGGAAUUCUUGGAUUGCGUUACGACGAACUACUGCGAAAGCAUUUGCCAAGGAUGUUUUCAUUGAUCAAGAACGAAAGUCAGGGGAUCGAAGACGCUUAGAUACCGUCGUAGUCUUAACCAUAAACUAUGCCGACUAGAGAUUGGAGGUCGUUUUUUUUAUGACUCCUUCAGCACCUUAUGAGAAAUCAAAGUUUUUGGGUUCCGGGGGGAGUAUGGUCGCAAGGCUGAAACUUAAAGGAAUUGACGGAAGGGCACCACCAGGAGUGGAGCCUGCGGCUUAAUUUGACUCAACACGGGGAAACUUACCAGGUCCAGACAUAGUGAGGAUUGACAGAUUGAUAGCUCUUUCUUGAUUCUAUGGGUGGUGGUGCAUGGCCGCUCUUAGUUGGUGGAGUGAUUUGUCAUUGCUUGAUUGCGGUAACGAACGAGACCUUCGCAUGCUAAAUAGUUUCGCGUAUCUUCGGAUAUUCGCUAAACUUCUUAGAUGGACUUAGCGCGUCAAGCGCUCGGAAGUUGGAGGCAAUAACAGGUCUGUGAUGCCCUUAGAUGUUCUGGGCUGCACGCGCGCUACACUGAUGCGUUCAACGAGUGUACACUUAUUCGAUAGGAUUGGGUAAUCUUUUGAAACGCAUCGUGAUGGGGAUAGAUUAUUGUAAUUAUUAAUCUUCAACGAGGAAU
rnacentral:rRNA from 1 species